rnacentral:rRNA from 1 species
CCUACGGGAGGCAGCAGUAGGGAAUAUUGCUCAAUGGGGGAAACCCUGAAGCAGCAACGCCGCGUGGAGGAUGAAGGUUUUAGGAUUGUAAACUCCUUUUGUUAGAGAAGAUUAUGACGGUAUCUAACGAAUAAGCACCGGCUAACUCCGUGCCAGCAGCCGCGGUAAUACGGAGGGUGCAAGCGUUACUCGGAAGCACUGGGCGUAAAGAGUGCGUAGGCGGGGUAAUAAGUCAGAUGUGAAAUCCUGUAGCUUAACUACAGAACUGCAGUUGAAACUGUUACUCUGGAGUGUGGGAGAGGUAGGUGGAAUUCGUGGUGUAGGGGUAAAAUGCGUAGAGAUCAAGAGGAAUACUCAUUGCGAAGGCGACCUGCUGGAACAUUACUGACGCUGAUGCACGAAAGCGUGGGGAGCAAACAGGAUUAGAUACCCCUGUAGUC